GGCUGUAGUAGUCAGAAAUUUUCGACAGAUGUGGUUGGAAAUAUUUUUCUGAUAAACUUUUUUCCGACUACCACUAAACAAUCGGAAUAUGGUCGGAAAUACCUUAUAUUCUGAAUACAUGUGCUGUUGAAAAAUACCAAAUUUCUGGUAGUGGCUUGAUUAUGAUCUCACAUUCUAUGUGGGAUGAGGCGAUGAAGAGAUUGGGCAUGUUGGAGGCCAAAGUUUGGAAUAUAAAAGGGGUAUAAAGCCCUGGAUUGACAAAGUUAGAGAACCAAGAUAGACAGGUAUAGGGUUGGUUAGACGUAUUUGAAUAAUAGAUGACCUGAUAGUUGGGAAGCGGAUAGGUUCCAGAUAUAACAGAAGUGAAAACUGAGGUGGCUGAAAUAAAGAAGAUAGUUGUUGAUUUAUACGAUAGACCGAUCAUCCUAGAACCCAUGGUUACGAAAGUUGUUCCUAAAGUACAAGUUAAAAAUAUCUGGGAAAUUUUGGAACCUGAAGAAGACCCCUGAAAGAAAAGGAAGAAGAUAAAGCACUAAAGUACAGAAAAUGAAGCAGUAAAAAAGGCUAAGCAAGAUAGCCUACUGAGUGAGAUAGACUGGCAGGUAUGGGUCGAAGAGAUGAAAGAUGGAGCUAGUAGCUCGAGACCAACAACUGAUGAUGUUGAUGGAGGUGGUGAUGUAGCCCUUUCGAGUGAUGUACCACUGAGCGCACCUACCAUAAUUAUUGCCACUACUAUGGAGGCAGUCCUGAUAACUGAUGGGACUUCUGUUGAGAAAGGUGGGACCCGAGAUGGGGGCCCACAUGAUUAUGCUAUAUGAGUUGUCUCCUUAAGAACCUAAGUAUGUUCCUGAUCCCUUGUGUUUCAUUUUUAGAUACGCUGGGGAUAGUGCGUAGGCUUUAAGUUGGGGGUGGGGGUGUACUAAGGUUUCCAUGAGCUAUACUUGCCAUGUUUCAAAGUUCAUGGCCAUAAUAUGAAAAAAAUAUGAGAACUGUCAUGUUAUGUUGUGUUUUGUUGUUAUUAGUUUGUAUGGAGGAAACUUUGACUUAUGGCAGUUGAUGUGUUUUUUAUGAGUAUGCUGAAAUUGUGUAAUCUUGAAAAGUUUUGUGUUGAAAUAUUGAUAUCCAUCCUAAAAUUUAGAUGUCUGUGUGAUGUGUAUGUGUGAGAUGACUGAGAAUUUUAUAAUGGCAUUAGAAUUAGGAAUAGAACAACUAGGGAGAACAAUUGCAUAACUGGAUAAGUAGUACUUAGCAGUAUAACCCUGGACGAGUGUGUGUGAGGUACUCCUUAGUUCUCGGUGUGUCUGAAUCAAGAACUCUCCCGAUUGCUCUUACCUAGGGUUCAGGAUAGUCGAGUAGAAAAUGAUCAUAGGCCAUUUUUGGUGUGAGUCCACUCGAGCCUAAAUGCCCAAUCUAAUGUGAUAUGAAUCCCUUUGAUCCAAAAUGUUUGAGCCUUAACUGAUCCAUUUUUUGUUUACACCAAUUUCACCUUCCCGAUUUACUUACAAUGAACCUAUAUUGGCCUUUCUCUUCCUUGGAUACUGCGCAUCUCAACUCUGGGAAAUCACCUAAGUUAAGAGUGGUUGUUAUAGGGGUACGUAGGAAAAAUGAGUAUGAAGAAAGAUGUUUAGAAAAAAUAUGAAAAAGGAUAGGUACGGUAAAAAUAAAAGAAAAAAAUUACAAAGAAAGAAAAGAAAAAAAGAAAGUAAGAAAAGAAAAUCGCACCUAGUCCAGUUUGAAUAUGCUUUAAAAAUAAAAAGGGACACAUAAGGGCAGAAAUAAAAUAAAAAAAAGUGAAAAAUAAUUGGACCCCGAAUAAAGCGUAGUAUCAAGGAGGCAUAGUCACUGAAAAUCUCAAAAAGAAACCAUACCAGUCCCUAACCUACAUUACAAGCAAAAUUAAGUCCUUUAGUGAUCUUGUCUCGACUGUUCGGAAACCCAGGAGAAGAGCAUAUGGGUAAGCCUAUGGUAUUCUGUAUACACUGGUGGUACUUCUUUGUGAGCGAGAGCAUUUUUUUUUUAUAAACCUGAAUAAAUUAAUUGAUCUUAACUGAGUGAAUGGGAUUUAUUUGACUGUGAGCGCACAUAGGUUAUGUUGUUAAGUUUCUAGAUUGUUCGAUUAAUGUGGGUUGUAUCUAUGCCUGGUUGUCUGUUACUAAUAUAAUACCAUCAUCAGAUUCCUUUAUGUUUCUGUGUGUGCCAAACUGAUACACAGUUUGAUUCUUUCAAAGUUAAAAUUAGGAGGCGAAACUAAAAUGUUGAAAAAGUGAAUUAAAAAUCACUGCCCUAGGUGUGUUAGGAUCUUCCUUUUUAAGCAUCGUUAUUGUGUUGGUAGUAUUGAUUUUUAUUUUGCCUGAGGAUACACAAAUGUCUAAGUUGAGGGUGUUGAUGUGCCAUGGAAACAUGACACUUUCGAUGCUUUAAACAAAGAAUUUAUGCUUGAAUUAGGUUGUUUUAGUAGAUAUAAGGGUGUUUUGUUCUUGUUGCAAGUAAAACAGGUAAAUAAGAGGCUUGUAACAAAAGUAGAAGAAAAAAAUGGUAAAAUGAUGAAGUCUGCAGAUGAUACGAGUCACCUUAUGAGUCGUCAACACAUCAUACAAAUCAUAGGUUGACUCAUAAGCACAAUAGAACCAAAAGCCAAGAAGAAAUCUUAAGUAAAGAAAAGAUAUGACUCAGUCAUAUGAGUUGUAAGAUGAUCAUGUGGGUCAGUCAAGAAACUAUAAAGAGAACAGAACCUCAGGCUGUCAUUCAGAGUUUAAGUCACCAAAGAAGAUGAGUCGAAAGACUGAGUAUGACUUGUAUGAUCCAAUCACAAUCAGACCAGUGUUCAGAGCCUUAAAUAAAGAAGUCCCAGUUGGUAACGAGUGAAGGCCUGAGUUGUAUGGUCAAGGCAGGACUGGUGAGUAGGAAUUGUAAGAAGAAUAGAAAGUUGAAGCCCUAAAAGAUCAGACACUAGAUAACAUACAAGAGGCACUGUAUGACUCAUAAAAAGACCUUACGAGUAACGAUCGAGUCGUACGUUGUGCUGACUUACUUUUCCUUUUUUGUUUUCAAUUGGAUUUUUGGGUUGUUUUGAGAUACUAUAAAUACCCUAGGGUUUAUCUUUGAUUAGGUUACGUUCCUUAACAUUAUUCCUAUAUUCUUUUACAUACUUUACAUUAUUCUUGAGAUUUUUGGGUUAUUCAAUUCAAGACUUUGAAUGUUAUCACUACAAGAAAAUGUACAAUUAGCAACAAUUUUUUAGCAACGACAACAUUAUUGUUGGCUUAGAUCGAUAAAGGCAACAACUUAAUUUUAUUGUUGCUACAUCUUGUAAUUUUUAACCACAGUUUUAUAUCGUUGCCAAAAAUUAUAAUUUUGUUGCUAUAUUCUAAAGUUAAUAUAAAAAAAUUUAAAUAUAGACAAAUUACAACAACUUUUUUACAACAAACAUAAUUUUGUUGCCUAAAUUAAAUAAAAGGCAACAACUUGAUUUAAUUGUUGUUAUUUAUGAAAUAUUUGCCAAUACUAUAUUUUUUAUUGCUAAUCCGUUUAAUUAGGCUUAACUUUCAUUAGUUUUUUUUAAUCUUCCACCAAAUAUCAAGUAAAGGCGGCACAUCCCCAAAAAUAUUGGAGACCCCUUAGUUACCUCCAAAAUAACACUACUACAGGUUUUCUUUUUUCCAUUGAAACCCAAGAUCUCAUCUCCAUUGAUUUAUUUAUUGCGGCAUUUACCCAAGCUAUUUCCUUGAUUGCUUUCUCCAAGUUUGGUGAGUUAUUAAUUAUGAUUUAGUUUAUACAUGGUUUGAUGACUUGUUUCUUGAGUUAUUGUAUUCUUUUUAAUUUGUGGAUGCCUUAAGAGUUUUUGAAUUCCUUCUUUUUAGUUUGUAGAUUCUCCGUAAUGAUUUAGCUCAAAAUUUUUGGCUAGAAAAGUGUUAUUUCUUUUUUUGGGUUUUAUGGGUUCUUAAAUCUGGCUAUGGCAAAAUUAAAUUUGAGUUCUUUGUUUGAGAAAUUAUUGUCAAUCUUUACAAUUCACUAUUAUAUUUUGCUUCAAAAACAAUCCUUGAAAACAAAAUAAUUUUUGUUCUAUCGAGAUUCACUGGUAAAUGAAAAAUUGAAGGAAGAACUCUCAACUCUCACAUAGGUCUUUACUAGGGGUGAGUUCAAUUCUUUCAAACUUUCAUUAGGGUCUUCGAUUUUCAAUUUUUCAAUAGUGUGAAUGAAAUUCCAAAUCAAAUUACUUCGAUUCGAUUUCGUCUAAUUUGAUUCUUUGAUAUUUAUAAAGAAUGUCAAUAAUUAGAAGAAAUAAAUAAAUUUCAUGUCUCAAUUCGAAGGAAAAUGUCUACUGUGUUGGUCUUCGGUAGAAUAUAUACUUUGAUGAGAUGAUGAUAAUGUUGAAUUUUCAAUUACUUACAAACUGCUAGUAGAAAAUCUAAGCAGAGAAAGAUACUUCAAGAAAAUAUCGCUAUCUAUUCAUGAUGAUUCCGUAUCACUUAAACAUUAUAGGAGUCAAAAAACUAAGUGUUGUGUCAAGUUACCAGUGCUUGCGUGUAUAUGACUUGGUAACUUGUUUUUAAUGUAAAUUAUUUAAAUUUCAUAUAAUACAAGUAGAAAAUUUGGUCAAGCUAUUGUUGGUCAUUCAGGACAUGUCCCUUCUCUGCCAUAAACAUUUUCUUUACUUGAUGGUGUUGUAUCGAUAUACUAUAGUCAUAUCAAAUUGAAUAGGUGGAAAGCUUUUAGAGAUUAUAAUGUGGAUCAGCUGCUCUUCCUUAUAAUGGAUGGUAACAUUGCAUACAUUAGGGUCCCAAAGUAUCCAAAUCCUCUAAUUUCUAUCAAUACCAUAGUCGUAUUCAACUUUCCAUUUCACAUCCAGUUUUUUGCAUAUAGACGUAGCCUUAUUCUCUUUAACUCUAGUUUUAAUAAUCCAGCUAAAUGGAUAUUAUUUUCCCUCAAAUAAAGAGACAAUUCUCUCUACUUAUGUCUCUUGUUUAUUUCCCUAACAUUCCAUACCAAGCAAUGCAUUAAACAAUUGAGGUUCCCCCACCUUUAUCCGAGAGAUGUAAGGUAAUAAUCUCAUGAGCCCCGAUAAGAAAAGCUUCAAAGCCAUUAGUAGUAUCCUUGAGAGUGUUCGAGGGAGGUUUCUAAGAGAGAACUUUCUUGGAAGGGAUAAGAGAGUCAUCUUCAGAACCUUCCCAAAUAAUAAAUUUCUCUCCAGUAUCUUCAUCUAUGAGCUGCUAAUCCCCAGGAGUGUCCAUAGGGGAUGACUGUAAGUUUCUUUGUUUGUCACCAUCACUCUUUUCCAAUGCACAAUAACAUUAUUAUUAUUAACCUUCCCAAAUGAUCUUUCCAAUUUGAAAUGAGACAGAGCCACAACUGGUGGUCUUGGUGCAUCAAGCAUUGAGAUUUAUCUUAACUUGGGGAAUGCCCCAACUACUAUUUCCUACAAAAAUGUAUGGAAACAAUACGUUGAUGCCCACCACAGUUGUCAUAGGGAUGAAUGUUUUUUCUCUAGAUAAUUGCAACUUGAUAGUUUAUUGAAUCUCUUUGUCCAUAGAAGUUUUAUUUUAAAUCACCUUCUUGAUUUAUACCUUUGAUUAGUCUUUAUUUGUUAAAAUUUUUAAUAUAUUGCAGUCAAUAAUGAUGACAAAUAUGGAUAUUUCUAAUAAUAGUGAAACUACAAAUGUAUCUGCGAUCCCGGCUCUAGAAAAAAAGAGAAAGGGAAGAGGAAAGACAACAGGGCUUUCAACCCAAAAGAAACACAAGGAAAAUGAUAAUGGAAAGUUGAAGGUGAUUAUCCCACUAGAUCGAAUAGUAGCAGUAGGUGCUGAAGCUAAUGUUUUUAUUACCAAGCUCUUAGUGAAAGUUCAUCAUAAUGCUAGAGAUGACAUCAAGAAUUGAAAGGGAGUUCCUGAACUGGCAAAAGAUAGGAUUAUUGCUUAUAUGUUGAGGGACACAAACACUUGAGAAGAGCCAAACUAUCAAAAACUUUGGGAAAUGACUCAUAUGAAGCCAAAUGGACAGUGGGUUACUAAUGCUUCUGCUAAAGAUAAAGUGAAAGAUAUUAUUGCUGAAAAAGUUCAAGAAGUCAAAGAGGACACUGAUAUGGAUCCUAUUAUCAAUGUUGCAUUUGUGCAAGUUGUGGGUGAAAAAUCAAAGUACAUUCUUGGUCAAGGAUCUGGAAUUAAGUCAGCAAGUAGGAUAUCGAGAAAUAAAAUUCAACAGAAACUUAAAGAAUGACAAAAGGAAGUGGAAGAUGAACGUCGUAAAUGAGAGAGUGUACAAAGCAAGCUAAUGGAAGUUAAAAAUCAGCUUAAAGAGAAAGAAGAAAUUGAGAAGUAAUGGAAGUUCGUUUAGUGCAUGAACAAAAAAUGUUAAAAGAGAGUGUAAUGGCACUAGUUUCUCAUAUGCAAAGCUCUAAGAUAUUUGUUUAGUAUACAACGCUAAACUAGUAAAUGUUGCAUUAUUACUUUUAUUUUUA